UCUCUCGAACUCCACUCUUCAGUCUUCACAUCUUUGUGAAAUAACUAUAAGAAGGAGGACCAUGCUGAUUACUCUUCUCGUUGUUUUGCUCGCCUUUUCAGGCCCAAUCAAAGGACAAGAUCACUUGGGAAGAGGUGAUGGCAGUGACUUGGCCCCUCCUCCGGAUCCAGGGAGCAGUCAUUUGGCUCCUCCUCCACCUCCUCCAUCUCGAAAGAUCAAUCCACCUCCACCUCCAAAGACAGAUUUGCCUCCUCCUCCACCUCCACCUCCAAAGACUGAUUUGACCCAGCCACUUUCAGAACCAUGUGUGGAAUGAAGUUGUACAGAGGGCCGUGCAUCAACAUCCUUUGCGCUACUGCAUGUGUCGCACAGUUGCAUCAGGGCGGCCACUGUCGUGGGAAUUUUUUUAAAGGUGGUUGCUAUUGUUUCGUGUGUUCCGUAGCAAAGUCUAGUCCAACAUUACAUUGAUGUGGAACAUGCAGAAUGUGGCUUGAGUUUUUUAUUGGUUCAAUCCAACAAUAAAGGAUGUGCUUAUUAUUGUAUUUCUCUUUUAAUAACGAAAAUUAAGUGAAUAGGCUUUCUA